UACGUAGGGGGCAAGCGUUGUCCGGAAUCAUUGGGCGUAAAGCGCGUGUAGGCGGUUACGUAAGUCUGCUGUGAAAGUCGGAGGCUCAACCUUCGAAAGCCGGUGGAUACUGCGUGACUAGAGUACGGAAGAGGAGAGUGGAAUUCCUGGUGUAGCGGUGAAAUGCGCAGAUAUCAGGAGGAACACCAACGGCGAAGGCAGCUCUCUGGGACGUUACUGACGCUGAGACGCG
rnacentral:rRNA from 1 species